CGGAAGGCGCGUAAAAAUCUCAUCAUCACUAAGCCCCAGGCGUGAUCGGAGCCGGGCCGAAAGGCGCGUAGAAAGGGCCUCAGCCAUGAACCUAGAAUGGGAAGAAAACAUGCGUCUUUUCCUCCACGUGUAGUCUACACCACUUUUGUUAAGAGAAAUAUGCCUCGCUGGUUCAGACAGCUCUGUGUGAGGGCCCAGCCUCAGGUCCCAUGCAGAUGGGCCUCGGCUCUGUGCCCUUGCAGUGAAGACCAAACAUUGAUUUAUGUGGUACUGAUCACUGCAGUCGGCAGCCAGAAGCAGCCAGGGGUUCUGCAAGGAGGUGAGAGGCAAGGUGUUCAGCAGCUUCCAUGCAUACACCACCAGCUCCUGCUGCUUCCUGCCAUCGCCCUUCCCCACUCUGCCGGAGGCUACACACAGUGGUGAUGCUGCUGCAUUAAUUUACAGCCUGCCAUGCUAAUUUCCUGACCUGGGAAGUGGGACAAUAGGUAUUGGUGUCACCUGCAGGACUGCCAGAGCAUCAACUCUGGUGCAGUGCAAACACCCUGGGGGUGGGGUGGGGGAUGACGUGGUACCAAGGUAAGGGCUGGUCACAACUCUGUGUGACAGGUGGCUGUUCUCAUACUAGGUUUGCCUGCCCUGCCCUGCUAGGCUGGAGACCCCUGAGGGCAGAGCUGCUGACUCUGUCCUCACUGUGUCCCCAAGUCCUGGUGGGGCACAGGACACUCCCUGAUCUGAAGCAACUAGACAAAAUAUUUAUAAGUAGCACAGAAGUGAUGACAGUCUUCAGUAAGGAAGGAAGGAAUGGAAUUAUAUGUGUUUUCAAUUCUCAUUAUGACUUGCUUUUCUGUAUUUGUUAUAUUUUUAUUUAUUCCUGAAUCUCUAUAGCAAAUUCUAGUAAGAAACCUAAUAUGGUGGGGCUGAGGUUGUAGCUCAGUGGUAGAGCACAUGGCUAGCAUGCAUGAGGCACUGGGUUUGAUUCUCAACACCACAUACAAAUAAAUAAAAUAAAGGUCCAUCAACAAUUAAAAAAUAUUUAAAAAAGAAACCUAAUAUGGUAUAAAGUUGUGCAAGUGACAAACACAGAUAAAGUUCACUAUACAUUUUAAUAUAUGAUAUAAAAUAUUACUUAAAGACAUGAACAAGAUACGGGUACAGCAGCACACACUUGUGUUCACAGUGACUCGGGAGACUGAGGCAGGAGGAUGGCAAGUUUGAAGCCAGCCUCAGAGGCUUAGUGAGACCCUGUCUCAAAAUAAAAAAUUUAAAAGGCUGGGGAUGUGGCUCAGUGGUAGCACACCCCUGGGUUCAAUCCCCAGUACAAAAAAAAAAAAGUAAAAAAAUCAAACAUUUUAUAUUAGAAAGCAAAAAUAAUUAUCAAACUCAAUCUUGUAAAUCCCUGUGAGGAAUAAAAGAAACUCGCCCACA